UCGGGCAUGCCGGAACCAACUCUCAGACGUGCCAGAACCUCGUGCCGGACACGCCAGAACCACGUGCCGGACAGACCGGAAACACCUGCCGGACACGCCGGAACCACCGGCUCGACUCGCCAGAACCACCGCCGGACAUGCAAAAUGACCUGCCGGCUACGCCAGAACCACUUGGCGAACACUCCGGAGUCAAUUGUCGGGCAUGCCGGAACCACCUCUCAGACAUGCCAGAACCAUGUGCCUGAGAUGCCGGAACCACUCCCCGUACAGACCAAAAACACCUGCCAGACCCUCCUGAACCCCCUGGCGAGCACGCCUGAUCCACCUGCUCAACUAGCCGGAACCAAGUUCCUGACACGCCAAAAUCACCUGCCGACUACGCCUGAACCUCUCGGCAGACACUCCGGAACCACCUGCCGGGCAUGCCGGAAACACCUCUCAGAAGUGCCAGAACCACAUGCCGGACACUCCGGAAUCACCUGCCGGGCAUGCCGGAACCAUCUCUCAGACGUGCCAGAACCAUGUUACGGACACGCCGGUACCACCUGCCGAGCUCGCCGGAACCACCUGCUGGACACGCCAAAAUCACCUGCCGGGUACGCCAGAACCACGUGGCGGACUCUCCGGAAUCACCUAUCGGGCAUGCCGGUACCAACUCUCAGACGUGCCAGAACCUGGUGCCGGACACGCCAGAACCACCUGCCGGACAGACCGGAAACACCUGCCUCACACGCCGGAACAACCGGCUUGACUCGCCGGAACCACCGCCGGACAUGCAAAAUGACCUGCCGGCUACGCCAGAACCACUUGGCGAACACUCCGGAAUCACCUUCUGGGCAUGCCGGAACCACCUUCUGGAAAUGCCGGAACCACCGGCUCGACUCGCCGGAACCAUUGCCGGACAUGCAAAAUCACCUGCCGGCUACGCCAGAACCACUUGGCGAACACUCCGGAAUCACCUGCCGGGCAUGGCGGAACCACCUCUCAGACAUGCCGGAACCAGAUGCCAAUGACACCGGAAGCACCUGCCGAGCACGCCAGAACCACCUGCUCGACUCGCCAAACCACCUGCUGGACUCGCCAAAAUCACCUGCCGGCUACGCCACAACCAUUUGGUGAACACUUCGGAAUCACCUGCCGGGCUGGCUGGGAACCACCUGCCGGUCACGCCAACAUCACCUUUCCAGCUAUGCCAGAAACACUUGGCGGACACUCCGGAAUCACCUGCCGGGCAUGCCGGAACCACCUGAUCNNNNNNNNNNNNNNNNNNNNNNNNNNNNNNNNNNNNNNNN
rnacentral:lncRNA from 1 species